rnacentral:rRNA from 1 species
AACGAACGCUGGCGGCAGGCCUAACACAUGCAAGUCGAGCGCCCCGCAAGGGGAGCGGCGGACGGGUGAGUAACGCGUGGGAAUAUGCCCUUUGCUACGGAAUAGUCUCGGGAAACUGGGGGUAAUACCGUAUACGCCCUUUGGGGGAAAGAUUUAUCGGCGAAGGAUUAGCCCGCGUUGGAUUAGGUAGUUGGUGGGGUAAUGGCCUACCAAGCCGACGAUCCAUAGCUGGUUUGAGAGGAUGAUCAGCCACACUGGGACUGGGACACGGCCCAGACUCCUACGGGAGGCAGCAGGGGGGAAUCUUAGACAAUGGGGGCAACCCUGAUCGAGCCAUGCCGCGUGAGUGAUGAAGGCCUUAGGGUUGUAAAGCUCUUUCAGCUGGGAAGAUAAUGACGGUACCAGCAGAAGAAGCCCCGGCUAACUCCGUG